AAAAUUAUAGACUUACAGUUAAUAUUUUCAGCGCGUCUUGGAAAUUCUGUUGUGGUUGAUGACGCCACUCAAUGUCGUACGGAAAAAGAGUAUGGUCUUUUGCUAAAAGAGCCAUUCUUGUCGUUAACUUCUUCGCCGUUUCAUCCGUGGCUUGGUUUGUGUUAUCAAACAUAACCGUCCACUUCGUACCUUUCUCUGGAUGGUUAUGGGGGUGGUCUUUUGUGCGACCACGACCCUUCUUUUGUGGAGGCACAUUUGAAGUGGAUGGCCUCGCAUCUAAUUAAUUUACAUAUUUAAAAAUUAAUAUUUAAUAAAAAUCAUGAUAAUAUUUAAAAUAUUAAUAAUGAACUGACCACUCGAACUGGACUCC
rnacentral:lncRNA from 1 species